UACGUAGGGUGCGAGCGUUGUCCGGAAUUACUGGGCGUAAAGAGCUCGUAGGUGGUUUGUCGCGUUGUUCGUGAAAACUCACAGCUUAACUGUGGGCGUGCGGGCGAUACGGGCAGACUGGAGUACUGCAGGGGAGACUGGAAUUCCUGGUGUAGCGGUGGAAUGCGCAGAUAUCAGGAGGAACACCGGUGGCGAAGGCGGGGUCUCUGGGCAGUAACUGACGCUGAGGAGCGAAAGCCGUGGGGAGCGAACAGG
rnacentral:rRNA from 1 species